rnacentral:tRNA from 1 species
UUCCCCCUUCGUCUAGUGGCCCAGGACGUCGGCUCAUCCAGCCGGAAACGCUCGUUCGAAUCGGGCAGGGGGUGU